UACGUAGGUGACCAGCGUUGUCCGGAUUUACUGGGCGUAAAGAGCGCGCAGGCGGUCGUUCAAGUCGAGUGUGAAAGCCCCCGGCUCAACUGGGGAGGGUCACUCGAUACUGAUCGACUUGAAGGCAGGAGAGGGAAGCGGAAUUCCCGGUGUAGUGGUGAAAUGCGUAGAUAUCGGGAGGAACACCAGUGGCGAAGGCGGCUCUCUGGGCCCUACCUGACGCUGAGACGCGAAAGCGUGGGGAGCGAACCGG
rnacentral:rRNA from 1 species